CGUUCGAGGGCCGAGUGGUUAAGGCGAUGGACUGCUAAUCCAUUGGGCUCCCCACCAUGCGGGUUCAAAAUCCCAUCCCUUGUCGA